rnacentral:lncRNA from 1 species
GCGGAUACUUCAUCCUCAAACUCUUUGGAGGUUUUGUACAGUUACACCAUCUUUACUAUCUUAUCUUGCUCCUUUAUUUAUCUUUUCAAGGCCUCGAUGGCCUCCUCAUGAGCUUCAUUAGCUUUUUCCACCUCUUUAAGCUUCGGUUCCAGUUCUUUAUUUUUCUCGAUGACAGUGUGCAUGUCAAAGAUCUUCUUUUCCUGCUCGUUUAUUUUUCGCUGAAGG